GACGAACGCUGGCGGCGUGCUUCAUACAUGCAAGUCGAGCGGGGUCCAUCCAGUGGCAACACUGGUGAAGACCUAGCGGCGAACGGGUGAGUAACACGUGAGGAACCUGCCCCAGAGACCGGGGUAACCCUCCGAAAGGAGAGCCAAUACCGGAUGCCCCCACCGGAUCGCAUGGUCUGGUGAGGAAAUGGAUUCCGCUCUGGGAGGGCCUCGCGGCCUAUCAGCUUGUUGGUGAGGUAACGGCUCACCAAGGCGUCGACGGGUAGCUGGUCUGAGAGGACGGUCAGCCACACUGGGACUGAGACACGGCCCAGACUCCUACGGGAGGCAGCAGUAGGGAAUCUUGCGCAAUGGGCGAAAGCCUGACGCAGCAACGCCGCGUGGGGGAUGAAGGCUCUCGGGUUGUAAACCCCUUUCAGCAGGGACGAUUAUGACGGUACCUGCAGAAGAAGGACCGGCCAACUACGUGCCAGCCGCCGCGGUAACAC
rnacentral:rRNA from 1 species